ensembl:snoRNA LOC120098362 small nucleolar RNA SNORA44
AUGGAAAAAGUGAAGCCUCUGUAGUCAGUCAAAGGAGCUGAACUUCAACUGCAUGCCAGAGUAAUGGAAAGACUUUGACAGCCCAGGUCAUCACAGUGCCUGCAGUUGCCACCCAGCUCUCCUAUAUGU